CAAGAACACGUUACACUGCACCCCAUAAACACAAACAAGCCUUUAAAACACUCCCUCGAUGAAAUGUAGGCUACUCAACAUGUGCCACCCUGCGGCGAUGGUUGAAGAAAGACAAAUGAGAAAGUACUUCACCAUAUGCUUGAUAUUAUCGCAUGGUUGGUGCUUUACUUUCUUUAUAGUAAAGUAAAAGUGAACGAUAACGAUUUGUUUAUGAAAUUACUGUUGAGCUGCACCAUACAUGUAUUACCUAGGCUACUACAGAAAGCAGAUUAUAGUAAAGAUUAAGCAGAAGCUCUAUGGAGGGCAAAAUGCUACACCUUCAAGUGCACGAUCACAUUACAAUCGCAAGUUCCUCAAACCAUAAACACUUACCUUCCGUUUCUGCAUUCAGUACGAGUCUCGUCUGUCUGGAUGAAAGCAGAGGAGAGGGAUAAUGUGUUGCGUUUAAGUGGACGAAUUAAGCAAUCUAAUGCAAAAGAAUUUCUUUCUGAACCUGGACCUUUUUAACAAUGCACACUUGGCGGUGCUUCGUCGCCAUUAUAUUUGUACUUGUUUGGUACUUCUCAGAGUUUGGACAAAUAUGGACACAAGCCUUCUUUUGUUUCUUAUGCUUUUUUUUAAAUUUCCCUUUCAAAAAGCAAGACCGUGAAACAAGCACUCAGACGGAUGAUACAUCUGAAGAAACAGAACGACAGACAAAGAAAGGUCACCAUGUUGGUGUCACUGAUGAGAUUGAUGCUACCAGAACUGGACAAACUGUGUCUCAGACAAUGCAAUAUCCAAAUGUACAGAGGUCACUUCUC
rnacentral:lncRNA from 1 species